rnacentral:rRNA from 1 species
UACGUAGGUGGCAAGCGUUGUUCGGAAUUACUGGGCGUAAAGCGCGUGUAGGCGGCUCUUCAAGUCAGACGUGAAAGCCCCGGGCUUAACUCGGGAACUGCGUUUGAUACUGUCGAGCUAGAGUGUGGAAGGGGCGAUUGGAAUUCCGUGUGUAGCGGUGAAAUGCGUAGAUAUACGGAGGAACACCAGAGGCGAAGGCGGAUCGCUGGGCCAACACUGACGCUGAGACGCGAAAGCUAGGGGAGCAAACGUG